rnacentral:rRNA from 1 species
GGAUGAACGCUGACAGAAUGCUUAACACAUGCAAGUCGAUGGGGAAGUGGUGCUUGCACCAUGGCAACCAUGGCGGACGGGUGAGUAACGCGUAAGGGACUUACCUGCAGGACUGGGAUAACAGGGGGAAACUCCUGACAAGACCGGAUAAUGUCAUGGAGCUGCAUGGCUUUAUGAUGAAAGGAGACGCCUGCGGAGAGCCUUGCGUCCUAUUAGCUAGUUGGUGAGGUAAUGGCUCACCAAGGCGAAGAUAGGUAGCCGGCCUGAGAGGGUGGACGGCCACAAGGGGACUGAGAUACGGCCCUUACUCCUACGGGAGGCAGCAGUGGGGAAUAUUGGACAAUGGGGGCAACCCUGAUCCAGCAAUUCUGUGUGCACGAAGAAGGUUUUCGGAUUGUAAAGUGCUUUCAGCAGGGAAGAAGUAAGUGACGGUACCUGCAGAAGAAGCGACGGCUAAAUACGUG